rfam:Robiginitalea biformata HTCC2501, complete genome.
GUCAAUUGGAGUCCAGAAACCAAUCAAACGGGGUGCAACUGAAAAACCUUACGAGUAGGACCCAA